rnacentral:rRNA from 1 species
UGCGAUGUGACAUCACAUUGCAGUUAAAGCUCCGGCGGUUAUAGAUGGGCAUGCGUGACAUUAGCUAGUUGGUGAGGCAACGGCUCACCAAGGCGACGAUGUCUAGGGGUUCUGAGAGGAUUAUCCCCCACACUGGUACUGAGACACGGACCAGACUCCUACGGGAGGCAGCAGUAAGGAAUAUUGGGCAAUGGACGCAAGUCUGACCCAGCCAUGCCGCGUGAAGGAUGAAGGCCCUAAUGGGUCGUAAACUUCUUUUAUACGGGAAAAAACCACAGGUCGUGUAUCUGUGCUGAUGGUACCGUAAGAAUAAGCAUCGGCUAACUCCGUG